rnacentral:rRNA from 1 species
UGCAAGAGCCAUAUCUCCCUCCAUGUCUCGCCUGGUGUCCCACUGAAGCUAAGCAGGGUUGAUCCUGGCCAGCACCUUGAUGGAAGACCUCCUCAAGAAAAGUUAGGUUGCUGCUGGAA